UACUAUCCACACUACCUUCACAUCUGAUCAUGCCUUUGGUGGUGAGCCUAUCUUAAUUAAGUCUUCCCAUUUCUCUGAUGUUGCUCGGAACGGAGAAAAUUCCCUUUUCCUGCAGAGCAAGAAAGGCUCCUAUCUUCCUGGUAAGGGAGGAGGCUAUGGAGUUCAAUGGAAGGAUUUAUCCAGAAGUGGCUCUAGUUACGGAAAGGGGCUUGAGAAUGAAACUGACAGAAACGAGCCAACUCGUAAGAGCAAGCGGUUCCUAAGAGGCGUGUCUUGGAUGUGGGUAUAAAUAGUGAUGAUGAUGAUGGAGAAGACGAGGAAAUCCGUUAUCUAGGGAGACUGAACGCAUCAAAUGGUCUCUCGAAUCAUAAAGAUGAAGAGGACGCGGGAAAUAGGAUAUAUGGUGCUAUUUUCGAGGAUAGAGAUUACGUGGAAGAAUACGAGUGUGAAUCCGACGAUGAGCAGAAGCUGGGAAGGGGACCGUUUGAUUUGUUUGUCGAAGGAUGAACCGAAGCAACUCCCAGUACACACAAUCGAGGUCUUCAAUCCUGGAAAGAUUUUUUAUCUGGUUCAGCUGCCGGUCUUGUUGAGUUCCCCAACGGCUGCACCACCUAAAAAACAAAAAGGAAAACUUUCUGAAGUGGAGCUACAGUUGAAGAAGGCCGAGGCUGCACAGAGACGAAGAAUGCAGUCUGAGGGAUGCCGAGGUUGAGGCAAUCAAAAAAAUACUCGGUCCAGAUGAAAAAGCAGAGGGACGAGUUUGCACAGGGAAAGGCUACCAAAUCCGAAACUCUUGCAUCAAACACGGUGAGAUGGGUUAUGAGUCCUAGUGGAACAACGGUUAUAUUUUCUGAAGACAUUGGUCUACCACCGCUAUUCAAUUUGGUGCCAUCAAGUUAUCCCCAACUAUGAGAAAAAUGCGCCAGUCCGAAUUGUACAAAUACAUACAAGUAUUGAGAUUCCAAGUUGAAGCUUACAUUAUGCUGUCUUGGUUGCUACAAAGCAUACAUGCAAAACCUCAACCUUGGAUUGCAUGUUGAGAUUUGUCCCUCCCAUAUCACUGACCGAUGCGGAAGCCGGAAAUGGUUCCUUUACAUCAUUUACGAGAUGAUAAUGGAAGGUGACCAUUGAUGUAUGCUGUUUUUCUCUUCUAAUGUCCGGAAAUGUGUUCAUACUUAGUUCGAAGUAUUAUUUUAUUAUAUAUAUGAUUAAGGAAAAAAUGUAAGUCAAAUU